AACGCGAAGAACCUUACCUGGCCUUGACAUGCAAGUAGUAGAAGGAUGAAAGUCUGACGAGGUAGCAAUACCAGCUUGCACAGGUGCUGCAUGGCUGUCGUCAGCUCGUGUCGUGAGAUGUUGGGUUAAGUCCCGCAACGAGCGCAACCCUUGUGUCCUGUUGCCACUCGAACGUGAGUUCGAAGCACUCUGGACAGACUGCCUCGCUUAAACGAGGAGGAAGGUGGGGAUGACGUCAAGUCAGUAUGGCCCUUACGGCCAGGGCUGCACACGUACUACAAUGCCCGGCACAAAGGGAAGCAAGACCGCAAGGUGGAGCAAAUCCCCAAAAACCGGGCCCAGUUCAGAUUGUUGUCUGCAACUCGACAGCAUGAAGCUGGAAUCGCUAGUAAUGGCGCAUCAGCUACGGCGCCGUGAAUACGUUCCCGGGCCUUGUA
rnacentral:rRNA from 1 species